CCAAAACAGACCCGCAGCCAGAUUUGUGCCUGCAACCAUGGAGACAUGAAAACAAUGUCACCACUCCACUAAACUCCAUUCAUGGUUUUCAAGAUUUCUAAAAUCUUCUGCAAAGACACUGGAUUGUAUGAGAGCUCUAGACCGUCACUGGCACAGAACAGCCAAACCCGGAGCAGUGGGGGUCUGCUAUUCGGUAUGGGGAUGUUACUGCAGUCUCUCUGAGAAGAGGGCCGUGCUUUGCCUCCUCCACCCCACCCUCGGAUGGACCAUCCCUCGCAGCAAACACUAAGCAAGACUGGCAGCAGGCGUGUGUGCAGUGCCAGGUUGGAGGACAUGGUGAAAGGACAGGGGGCGGGGAGUGGCAGGCCUCAUGCCACCUCUUUGGCACCCAUCAGUUAGCGGGUUGUGAAAAGCAGAAAGCUGGCGAUUGUGAGCGGGCGGGACACGCAUCACAGGUCAUGCUGAGAGGCUGCCUGACACCUGUCAUGGCCGCUUACGGUGAAGAGCCGCUAUUCCUGUCCCUGGGCCUCCCCCGCAUUUAGGUACAGAUGGGGGGUAUGGGGGGGGGGGAGCGUGGACGGCCCAGAGCAGCACCCGGGGAACCCUACACAGGCUGGGAAAGCCUUACAAGCUCCACGUCUGUCCUUCUGAAGAAUAAGGAGUUCCUUUUUCGCCCGGCCCCUGGCGUGCCUCUGGGCACAGACAUACCAUGGAAUAUAGGUUCCCACCGCGACGGCCAAUCAGUGCUGGGUUGCUCACUACACAUAUUUAUAGCUCGUCUAGUGAAUUUGGGGGUGUGAGAUAGGGGUCGACUGGGAUUACAGGCCCAGGCUCUCCUGUUGACCCAUAGAGUAAAGAGAGAGCAACGUUCACCUGCUUUACCCCUUUUCCCGAGGGUGGAUAAAAGGCUGCGUAACAGCCCACUGAAGUGUGAAUCCAAUAUGCUUUUUUUUUUAUUAUUUAAUUUUAAUAGCGAGCGUUUUGUAGGUGAAUUUUAAGAAAGGUGUAAAGUAGCAAAGUAGAGAGAGACGGGAAGGGAGAGGCAGUGAGAGGGAGAGAGAGAGAGAACUUGUUUGGUUCAGGAACCAUUUAACGACUUCCCCUGGAAAUUGAAAAAGGAAAUAGUUUUGGGA